UAAGGUAGCAUAAUCACUUGUCUACUAAUUGUAGUCUAGAAUGAAGGGGUAAACGAAUAUGAACCUGUCUCAGAGUAGCCACUAAAAAUUAACACCUAAAUGAAAAGGUUUAGAUCCUAAAGAAGGACAAGAAGACCCUAUAGAUCUUUAUUUGUAGUCGACCCAAAAAAUCACUUACAAAAUUUUGGAUGGGGCGUCCCGAGUCUUAAAACAUAUACAACUCUCCACACCACGAGCCACAACUCCCUCCAUUUAACCUCAGAAAUACUGAAUUAUGAAAACUAAAGUUACCUUAGGGAUAACAGGCUAAUUCUUCUCCAGAGUUCAUAUUUACAGAAGAGCUUGGCAC
rnacentral:rRNA from 1 species